GACGAACGUUGGCGGCGUGCUUAACACAUGCAAGUCGAACGGAAAGGCCCUGCUUUUGUGGGGUGCUCGAGUGGCGAACGGGUGAGUAACACGUGAGUAACCUGCCCUUGACUUUGGGAUAACUUCAGGAAACUGGGGCUAAUACCGGAUAGGAGCUCCUGCUGCAUGGUGGGGGUUGGAAAGUUUCGGCGGUUGGGGAUGGACUCGCGGCUUAUCAGCUUGUUGGUGGGGUAGUGGCUUACCAAGGCUUUGACGGGUAGCCGGCCUGAGAGGGUGACCGGCCACAUUGGGACUGAGAUACGGCCCAGACUCCUACGGGAGGCAGCAGUGGGGAAUAUUGCACAAUGGGCGGAAGCCUGAUGCAGCAACGCCGCGUGCGGGAUGACGGCCUUCGGGUUGUAAACCGCUUUCGCCUGUGACGAAGCGUGAGUGACGGUAAUGGGUAAAGAAGCACCGGCUAACUACGUGCCAGCAGCCGCGGUGAUACGUAGGGUGCGAGCGUUGUCCGGAUUUAUUGGGCGUAAAGGGCUCGUAGGUGGUUGAUCGCGUCGGAAGUGUAAUCUUGGGGCUUAACCCCUGAGCGUGCUUUCGAUACGGGUUGACUUGAGGAAGGUAGGGGAGAAUGGAAUUCCUGGUGGAGCGGUGGAAUGCGCAGAUAUCAGGAGGAACACCAGUGGCGAAGGCGGUUCUCUGGGCCUUUCCUGACGCUGAGGAGCGAAAGCGUGGGGAGCGAACAGGCUUAGAUACCCUGGUAGUCCACGCUGUAAACGGUGGGUACUAGGUGUGGGGUCCAUUCCACGGGUUCCGUGCCGUAGCUAACGCUUUAAGUACCCCGCCUGGGGAGUACGGCCGCAAGGCUAAAACUCAAAGGAAUUGACGGGGCCCCGCACAAGCGGCGGAGCAUGCGGAUUAAUUCGAUGCAACGCGUAGAACCUUACCUGGGUUUGACAUGGAUCGGGAGUGCUCAGAGAUGGGUGUGCCUCUUUUGGGGUCGGUUCACAGGUGGUGCAUGCCUGUCGUCAGCUCGUGUCGUGAGAUGUUGGGUUAAGUCCCGCAACGAGCGCAACCCUUGUUCACUGUUGCCAGCACGUUAUGGUGGGGACUCAGUGGAGACCGCCGGGGUCAACUCGGAGGAAGGUGGGGAUGACGUCAAGUCAUCAUGCCCCUUAUGUCCAGGGCUUCACGCAUGCUACAAUGGCUGGUACAGAGAGUGGCGAGCCUGUGAGGGUGAGCGAAUCUCGGAAAGCCGGUCUCAGUUCGGAUUGGGGUCUGCAACUCGACCUCAUGAAGUCGGAGUCGCUAGUAAUCGCAGAUCAGCAACGCUGCGGUGAAUACGUUCCCGGG
rnacentral:rRNA from 1 species